rnacentral:rRNA from 1 species
AUUGAACGCUGGCGGCAUGCUUUACACAUGCAAGUCGAACGGUAACAGGUUAAGCUGACGAGUGGCGAACGGGUGAGUAAUGCAUCGGAACGUGCCCGAUCGUGGGGGAUAACGCAGCGAAAGCUGCGCUAAUACCGCAUACGAUCUGAGGAUGAAAGCGGGGGACCGUAAGGCCUCGCGCGAUCGGAGCGGCCGAUGUCAGAUUAGGUAGUUGGUGGGGUAAAGGCUCACCAAGCCAACGAUCUGUAGCUGGUCUGAGAGGACGACCAGCCACACGGGGACUGGUACACGGCCCAGACUCCUACGGGAGGAAGCAGUGGGGAAUUGUGGACAAUGGGCGAAAGCCUGAUCCAGCAAUGCCGCGUGCAGGAAGAAGGCCUUCGGGUUGUAAACUGCUUUUGUACGGAGCGAAAAGGCUCUCUCUAAUACAGGGGGCUCAUGACGGUACCGUAAGAAUAAGCACCGGCUAACUACGUGCCAGCAGCCGCCGUAA